rnacentral:rRNA from 1 species
UACGAAGGGGGCUAGCGUUGUUCGGAAUUACUGGGCGUAAAGCGCACGUAGGCGGAUAUUUAAGUCAGGGGUGAAAUCCCAGAGCUCAACUCUGGAACUGCCUUUGAUACUGGGUAUCUCGAGUAUGGAAGAGGUGAGUGGAAUUCCGAGUGUAGAGGUGAAAUUCGUAGAUAUCAGGAGGAAUAUCGGAGGCGAAGGCGGCCAACUGGUGGUGCAUUGACGCUAAGGUGCGAAAGCGUGGGGAGCAAACAGG